CACACCCUAUCCGUCAUGUGCUUUGCCCUGCCCAGCCUGCAUACCCUACCCUUAAUGUCAAUUCCUGUGCUUUGUUUGUCCAGUAAAAAAGCCCUACCAGCUCUUUUUGUGGUGUCAGGCAGGGAAUCCUCUCUCUCUCUCUUUCGCGCUGCCUCCCUUAUGCCUGGGCAUAAGCUCCAAGGAAGCCUCCUCUGGGAAAACAUUUUUGGCCACAUGUGAAUUUCUAUUGCACUGAGACCCCAGGAACUGAGACUCCAAUUAGUCUCCGCAAUGCAGUCAAGCAGAUCUCAUGAAGAUAUAAAUCUCACAGCCUUCUCUAAAACUUCUCCCACUGAUAUCUGGGAUCCUGAGGCAAGAGUGACAGAGGCAACUACUCAGAAAUCAGGAUCCAUGAUCAAAGGAGCAACAGCAGUGUCAACCAAGAAUGUGUUUUUAGCAAAUCUUCCUACACACUCCCCCUAUUCUCCAGCCA
rnacentral:lncRNA from 10 species